UACGUAGGGGGCAAGCGUUGUCCGGAAUUAUUGGGCGUAAAGCGCGUGUAGGCGGCUUGGUAAGUCUGGUGUGAAACCUUGGGGCUUAACCCCAAGCCUGCACUGGAUACUGCCUCGCUAGAGUCCGGGAGGGGAGAGCGGAAUUCCCAGUGUAGCGGUGAAAUGCGCAGAUAUUGGGAAGAACACCAGUGGCGAAGGCGGCUCUCUGGAACGGUACUGACGCUGAGACGCGAAAGCGUGGGGAG
rnacentral:rRNA from 1 species